rnacentral:rRNA from 1 species
CGAAAGCCUGACGGAGCAACGCCGCGUGAGGGAUGAAGGCCUCUGGGCUGUAAACUUCUUUUCUCAAGGAAGAAGAUCUGACGGUACUUGAGGAAUAAGCCACGGCUAAUUCCGUGCCAGCAGCCGCGGUAAUACGGGAGUGGCAAGCGUUAUCCGGAAUUAUUGGGCGUAAAGCGUCCGCAGGCGGCCCUUCAAGUCUGCUGUUAAAACGUGGAGCUCAACUCCAUCAUGGCAGUGGAAACUGUUGGGCUUGAGUGUGGUAGGGGCAGAGGGAAUUCCCGGUGUAGCGGUGAAAUGCGUAGAUAUCGGGAAGAACACCAGUGGCGAAGGCGCUCUGCUGGGCCACAACUGACGCUCAUGGACGAAAGCCAGGGGAGCG